CUCCUUCUCAUCUAGACAGAAGACCGUCUCUCUCUUCGGCAGGAUAAAGGCAAGAGGCUCCCAGACGACACUGACGUUCACACGCCCAAGGUUUCCGUACUUGGAGAGCUGAGUGGCUGGAAUGCCUGACCCAGAUGGUCUGUGCUAUCUGAGCUGGAGGAAAAAGUACUUGGAGACAGCGAUUUAUAUAAGGAACGAGGUCUUCCAGGAAGGCAGUGCAGAACUGGAUGAAAAGCUCCUGCUCCCCACUGCUGAAGACAGCCUCCUCUGCGCGAUGGAAGGCCAGGAUUACCUUAGUUACCUACGAGACAAGGGCACUGUCAAUCACUGGGUUAGUCUGUUACCAUCAGCAGUGUUUAAAACUAAGCACAAAUGUGCAGCCCUCAAGUUUUCAUGAAGAAAGUCAUUCCAAACAGUACAUUAUAUUACUAUCUUGUUUAAAUUCAGAACUGUGGUCAAGCUUCACAAUUCUGUCACUUCACUGAUGUAUUUCUCACCCAGCUGUUUUUUUUUUUUUAAGCUGGUGCAGUUUCCAGUUCCAGUGGAGGAGCGCCAUGAAAUUAUACACAGAAUAGAUUGUUUCUGACUUCUGUGGGAGAUGGAUCAGGAAAAUGAAGCGAAUCUGAAAAAGAUUUCUACUGAGUAAGGUUUUUGAAGUUCCAGAAGGCUAUAACCUCUAGAAAAUUGUAAAGGAGGAAUUAAAUAGAGCUGGAAAAGAAGUUCCAUAUACAAGUAAUAGAGCCUAGCUGACAUUACAGACAGGUGUCAUGGUGAUAGGGUUAAGAACAUAGACUCUAGUGCUGAACAUCUUGGGUUCAAGUCCCAGCUGUGCCACUCACUGGCUCUGUGGCGCCUAGGGGUUAAUUAAGCACUCUAGGCCCUCUGUGCCUGAGUUCCGUCAUCUAUAAAGGAGGGCCAGCAACAGGACCUACCUCAUAGGGUUGUGAACAUUGUCUCAAUAUGUGUAAAGUAUGAUGAACUACAUGGCAUGUAGUAAGUUCUAUAUAAAUAUUAGCUAAUUAUUAUUAUCUGAAUUUCAUUGACCCAAAAAGCUUUACUGCUCAUGCUUUCUUGCUUUCUUACAGGAGGACAUCACAGAAAUUUUAUAAAACCACGUCACAACUGCCACCUGGUUGACAGCAAUUAUAAAAUGUCAUCAGUUAUAAGAAGCAUCCCAGUAUCUAAAUAUUUAUAUGUGUAAAAAAUGGGCACCAUAUUAGGAUAUUAGUAGUAUUACUUGUAUUAGGCAGAAUUCUAAGAUGGCUCUUGUGAUGCCCAACCUCUGGCAUCUACCCCUAAUGCCCUCCACUUGAGUGCAGGCACAAUCUGUGGCUCGUUGCUAACCAAUAAAAUAUAGCAAAGGUGAAGGAUUUUGCAAUUUUAAUUAGCAUCCCUAAUCAGCUGACUCUGAAUUAAUCAAAAGGGAGGUUGUCCUGGAUGAGCCUGACUUAAUCAGAUGCGCCUCUUAAAAGAGGGUUAAAGAUUUCCGUAAAAGAGAUUCAGGCAGGAGAGAUACUCUCUCAUUGGCCUUGGAGAAUCAAAAAGCCACACAGUGAACUGCAUAUGGAGUGGACUGUCUCUAGCAGUUGAGGGCCUCAGUCCUACAACUGUAAG